CAGAGAAGGUCCCCUCCCCGGCGUGCCGGCGAGGGUUCCAUCCUCUCAUCCGCGUGUACCUUUACCAGCGUUGCCUCGGCGAGCCGCGCGCCCCUGCGUCGCGGGGCCCCCGGCUUUGGGGGGCGCUCGCCGGUGGAGAGCAAGAAACACGUCGCAACCGUACCGUCUGAGAGAAAUCGGGAACGAGAAGCA
rnacentral:misc_RNA from 1 species